CUGUUUUUCUGUAGGUUGGGCACAUCAGUAGCUGAGAGACUCCUCUGACCAUGGCCAGCCUCAGGAAGUGAGUGUCAACAGCCUUGCAGAUGGGAACUCAACUCCUGGGUACCCAUGCCUGAAAAGACGUAACUUUCUUCUCCUGUUUAAUAUUGCUGAUAUAUUGAUACACCAUGGAAUAAUAUGUAGCCAUAAAAAAGAAUGAGUUCACGUCCUUUGCAGCAGGAAGCCAUCAUUCUCAGCAAACUAACACAGGACAGAAAACCAAACACUGCAUGUUAUCACUCGAGGAGAUAAUAACUUCAGGGUUACGAAAAAGUUUGCAGGAGGAAUAAGUCCUUUGAAGUACUUUGAGGCCAGCUUCUGUCGCCCAGAAGUCUGAUUGUUCAAGGAAUUAUCUGAGACUGAAGAAACACAGACUUUUUCCCUCGAUUCCCUGAAACUCCCCCUCCCUGACUCGCUGGCCGCAUAAACACUCUCUGCUUCUUCUUUUUGUUAGGGCGGAUUUGAGAGAUCUUGCCCUCCCGCCUUCUCGCUUUGGCCAAAUCGAAUAAACUUUUAUCUCCAAGCACCUAUAUGUCAGUGUUUGGCAUCAGCUACACAUGGGGUACACGAGCCUGAGUCUGGGCUUCUACAACGCUGGGACCCUCGCUGUUCUUUGGAGCUGAUGGUAAAUUCAACAGAAAAGAGGCGCAUGGGUAGAAAAUGCAGCAUUUCCUCUCAGAUGCCAG
rnacentral:lncRNA from 1 species